AUUGAACGCUGGCGGCAUGCUUUACACAUGCAAGUCGAACGGCAGCGCGGGCUUCGGCCUGGCGGCGAGUGGCGAACGGGUGAGUAAUACAUCGGAACGUGCCCAGUAGUGGGGGAUAGCUCGGCGAAAGCCGGAUUAAUACCGCAUGCGACCUGAGGGUGAAAGCGGGGGAUCUUCGGACCUCGCGCUCUUGGAGCGGCCGAUGGCAGAUUAGCUAGUUGGUGGGGUAAAGGCCUACCAAGGCGACGAUCUGUAGCUGGUCUGAGAGGACGACCAGCCACACUGGGACUGAGACACGGCCCAGACUCCUACGGGAGGCAGCAGUGGGGAAUUUUGGACAAUGGGCGAAAGCCUGAUCCAGCAAUGCCGCGUGUGUGAUGAAGGCCUUCGGGUUGUAAAGCACUUUUGGCGGGAACGAAAAGGACUGUGCCAAUACCACGGUUCGAUGACGGUACCCGCAGAAUAAGCACCGGCUAACUACGUG
rnacentral:rRNA from 1 species